UCCGAGCCCAAAAUAAAACUAACGAAUAAAAAACUGAAGUUAAAAAAAAAAAAAAGUUAAGGUAGCCUUAAAAGUUGGGCAAUAUACCUAAACCAAACUAAAAGCUUUGCUGAUUGUUCCGUGUAGCCGUCUACCCCACUUCUCUUUUCUUAAGUCUCAAACUUUGCUAUUGUUGGUUGUUGUCUCCGGUCACCGCCAUUAAGAAUGGAAGACUUGGAGCAUAUCGUAAAAAGUGAUGAAGUCUUCUGCUCCACUGGAUUUAAUUUAGUACGGUAGAGUAUGCUCUUAAAUUCUGAAAUUUUGAUAGCAAGCAAUUUGCCCCCACUGCAAUUUUUGCAUGAGGUGGAGUGGCGCAAUUAAAACCUUAAAAACAAGGGUGCUGAUAUUUAAGAUGAAAAAGAGGUAAAUAGGGGAAACUCAACUUAGAGGCUAAGGAACAACUCUCGCACACACUAAGGACAACUUCAAGCCUGCAAAGAUGAUAAGAAGAAGAGAGCUAGAGUGCUCAGCAUAAACUCUUGGCAUCGAUUUUGGCUUAAGUAUGCAAGGAAUGAUGGUCAUGUUGCAACAUCAACAUCCAGCAUCGCGACACUGAACUUCGAAGCAUCGAGGGCUGAAAACAGAGUUAACGUCACAACGUGGGGAUCUUGGUGCCGUGACAUAAGCGUCGCUGAAAAGAUGAUGUCAGCGGCCAUAUGAUCAGAAUUGAAAGCUGUAAUUUGGUUAUUAAACAUUUAUUUUGCCCUAGGUUUUGCCUAUAUAUACACUAUUAUAAUCUCAUUAGGUCGGUUGUUGAUAGCUAGAUAAUUAAAUAUUUUUAUUUUUCUUUAUAAUUCAUUUAUGUUCGUCUAGUUAGGAUUCUUCCUGUUCCGAUGUGAAGGUGAUUGUGAGCGAGGGAUUGCUCUGGCACCGCACCUCAAUUAAUUAUCAAUGAGCAAUUUUUUUAUUUAUAUUUUAUUCUUUAACUUAUAUUUUGUUUCUCUAGCCAAUUAACAUUAGUAUGGAUAUUAGAAUAA